rnacentral:lncRNA from 1 species
GAGCGCAGCAGCUGGAAGAGUUGGACGUGUCGCCAGUGUGGAAGGGGAGUAUGUUCCCGUGGAAGGCGACGAGGUCACCUAUAAGAUGUGCUCUAUCCCGCCCAAGAAUGAGAAACUGCAAGCUGUAGAGGUGGUCAUCACCCACCUGGCACCAGGGACGAAGCAUGAGACCUGGUCCGGGCACGUCAUCAGCUCCUAGGGACCUGCAAGAACCCCUUCUCCUGGGCUUGAGGGAGACUUUGGGGGAAAGAGGAGCAGGGCCACCCUGGAUAUAACAUUCUACCACACAAGAUGGGGGCCUCAAGGCGGGCAUGGCCCCUUUCAAGCAUUUCCUGGAGGGGGAAGGAGUUGCGGGCAGGCAAGGGGUGCUCUCAGCCACCAGUACAGCCUCCAGCCAUUGCAACAAGCUCUCACUGUCUGAAAAGCAUUAAAAGCAUUUGAAAAGG